GUUAAGCGACUAAGCGUACACGGUGGAUGCCCUGGCAGUCAGAGGCGAUGAAGGACGUGCUAAUCUGCGAUAAGCGUCGGUAAGGUGAUAUGAACCGUUAUAACCGGCGAUUUCCGAAUGGGGAAACCCAGUGUGUUUCGACACACUAUCAUUAACUGAAUCCAUAGGUUAAUGAGGCGAACCGGGGGAACUGAAACAUCUAAGUACCCCGAGGAAAAGAAAUCAACCGAGAUUCCCCCAGUAGCGGCGAGCGAACGGGGAGCAGCCCAGAGCCUGAAUCAGUGUGUGUGUUAGUGGAAGCGUCUGGAAAGGCGCGCGAUACAGGGUGACAGCCCCGUACACAAAAAUGCACAUGCUGUGAGCUCGAUGAGUAGGGCGGGACACGUGGUAUCCUGUCUGAAUAUGGGGGGACCAUCCUCCAAGGCUAAAUACUCCUGACUGACCGAUAGUGAACCAGUACCGUGAGGGAAAGGCGAAAAGAACCCCGGCGAGGGGAGUGAAAAAGAACCUGAAACCGUGUACGUACAAGCAGUGGGAGCACGCUUAGGCGUGUGACUGCGUACCUUUUGUAUAAUGGGUCAGCGACUUAUAUUCUGUAGCAAGGUUAACCGAAUAGGGGAGCCGAAGGGAAACCGAGUCUUAACUGGGCGUUAAGUUGCAGGGUAUAGACCCGAAACCCGGUGAUCUAGCCAUGGGCAGGUUGAAGGUUGGGUAACACUAACUGGAGGACCGAACCGACUAAUGUUGAAAAAUUAGCGGAUGACUUGUGGCUGGGGGUGAAAGGCCAAUCAAACCGGGAGAUAGCUGGUUCUCCCCGAAAGCUAUUUAGGUAGCGCCUCGUGAACUCAUCUCCGGGGGUAGAGCACUGUUUCGGCAAGGGGGUCAUCCCGACUUACCAACCCGAUGCAAACUGCGAAUACCGGAGAAUGUUAUCACGGGAGACACACGGCGGGUGCUAACGUCCGUCGUGAAGAGGGAAACAACCCAGACCGCCAGCUAAGGUCCCAAAGUCAUGGUUAAGUGGGAAACGAUGUGGGAAGGCCCAGACAGCCAGGAUGUUGGCUUAGAAGCAGCCAUCAUUUAAAGAAAGCGUAAUAGCUCACUGGUCGAGUCGGCCUGCGCGGAAGAUGUAACGGGGCUAAACCAUGCACCGAAGCUGCGGCAGCGACACUAUGUGUUGUUGGGUAGGGGAGCGUUCUGUAAGCCUGUGAAGGUGUACUGUGAGGUAUGCUGGAGGUAUCAGAAGUGCGAAUGCUGACAUAAGUAACGAUAAAGCGGGUGAAAAGCCCGCUCGCCGGAAGACCAAGGGUUCCUGUCCAACGUUAAUCGGGGCAGGGUGAGUCGACCCCUAAGGCGAGGCCGAAAGGCGUAGUCGAUGGGAAACAGGUUAAUAUUCCUGUACUUGGUGUUACUGCGAAGGGGGGACGGAGAAGGCUAUGUUGGCCGGGCGACGGUUGUCCCGGUUUAAGCGUGUAGGCUGGUUUUCCAGGCAAAUCCGGAAAAUCAAGGCUGAGGCGUGAUGACGAGGCACUACGGUGCUGAAGCAACAAAUGCCCUGCUUCCAGGAAAAGCCUCUAAGCAUCAGGUAACAUCAAAUCGUACCCCAAACCGACACAGGUGGUCAGGUAGAGAAUACCAAGGCGCUUGAGAGAACUCGGGUGAAGGAACUAGGCAAAAUGGUGCCGUAACUUCGGGAGAA
rnacentral:rRNA from 1 species